UUACCAACAGCAGAGCACCUUUGCAAGGACACUCGUGCUUGGCUAUCUCCUGCUUUUCCAGUGGAACAUUUUUUUCUUCACAUGAGAAUCAGUGGCAUCUCAAAGACACUUCAGAAGUUAUGCUUGAUUCCUGGGAGAAGAGGUGAAAUUGAGACAUUGCAACACAUCCUGGACAGAGGAAAAAAUCUACGAGGUGUUCCUUUAAAAAUGUUUUAUUUCCACUCAACAUGAAGAUCUGAACUGAAAAUCAACAGGCAUUGACAUCAACUGAGGAAAAUAUGACUUUGAUCACUUUUGAUACUAUAGAAACUCAAACACCUAGAGUCUGCAUACAAGGCACUCCACAAACAAACUGUUGGCAUGGAACACAUUUUGUGCCACUGGAUUGAAAAGGGCUCUCUCAAUGGACUUCCAUGACUUUAUUACUUUACAGAAGACCUCUGAAAAAUACCAGACAGUUUCAAAACACAUGA
ensembl:lncRNA